rnacentral:rRNA from 1 species
UAAUACGUAGGGACCGAGCGUUGUCCGGAAUCAUUGGGCGUAAAGCGCGUGUAGGCGGCUUGUCAAGUCCGGUGUGAAAUCUCGGGGCUCAACUCCGAAACUGCACUGGAAACUGGCUUGCUAGAGUCCGGAAGAGGAGAUUGGAAUUCCUGGUGUAGCGGUGAAAUGCGCAGAUAUCAGGAAGAACACCCGUGGCGAAGGCGGAUCUCUGGGACGGUACUGACGCUGAGACGCGAAAGCGUGGGGAGCGAACAGG